rnacentral:rRNA from 1 species
ACGCCCNGGAAUUAGCGCAGCNCUGAAUCCCUGUUUCUNUGAUACUAGGAGUUGUAGNGUAAAGGUUGGAUCUUUAAUGGUAGAAUNCAUUCCAAAUUCACUUGAAUGUGAUGUUGUCCAGAGAGGGUGUCAGACCCGUUGGAAUGUGUGAAACUGUUAAUGAUGCUUCCUAUGAGUCGGAUUGUUUGAGAAUGCAGUCCAAAUUGGGUGGUAAACUUCAUCUAACGCUAAAUACUUGUGCUAGUCCGAUAGAAAACAAGUACCGUGAGGGAAAGUUGAAAAGAACUCUGAAGAGAGAGUUAAAUAGUACGUGAAAUCGCUUAGAGGUAAACGAGUGGAGCCGAAAAUGUUGUGUAGGAUUCAGUUGUUUGUGUUUUGUACGGUAUUGGUGAUAUCUUUAAUGCUGGGAAUUACCAAUACCUUUUAACUUUGAAAUACAAAUGAUGCACUUUCUAUGCAACAAAGCUGCAAUCGAUAGCGUUGUUUUUCUGUCGUAAUGAAGAAGGUGAACAAUUUUUCGGAAUUGUUUUUAUAGCUUUUUUACACGGUUAAUCAAUUUAUCGGUGAAUGCGAAUAUUCAUUGUUGGUGAUUGCUAAUAUGAAUUGUUUGAUUGUAAACUUUUUAUGAGAUUACUUUCAAAUCGUUCAUGUUGGCGUUAUUAAUGGAGUAUUCAAAAUNUGCAGUGUAUAUGUAGGUUACCUACUCGUCCCGUCUUGAAACACGGACCAAGGAGUUUUAUAUGAUCGCGAGUCAAAGGGCUUUACGAAACCCCAGGGCGCAAUAAACGUAAAGGCUUGCAUUGGUAAGCUGAAAUAUGACCUCACUCUCGAACCGAAAGCGAGAGCAAUAUUAACCCGUCUGAAGAAUUUCGAUUCUGGGCGGAGUUUGAGCGAUCAUGUAGAGACCCGAAAGAUGGUGAACUAUGCUUGUGCAGGUUGAAGUCAGGGGAAACUCUGAUGGAGGACCGAAGCGGUUCUGACGUGCAAAUCGAUCGUCGGACAUGAGUAUAGGGGCGAAAGACUAAUCGAACCAUCUAGUAACUGGUUCCCUCCGAAGUUUCCCUCAGGAAAGCUGGGGUUUGAGUUGUAGUUUUACCUGGUAAAGCCAAUGAUUAAAAAUACUGGGGACGAAUUGUUUCCNACUUAUUCNCAANCUUUAA